CUUUUUGCAAGCAGCUGCACUGUGAGUUCGCCUUCCAUUAGUAAAGGGACAAUGAAGGGAAGGCGAACCCCGCGUCCAAAACAUGGCCAAUGAAAGGACACUGGAAUGGAAGCCAGGAAUCCUGCUGUGGUGGAGAGGCAUAGACUCAUGAGUCCACCACAAUCGGAUACUUGCUUCUUUUUAACAGCCCUAUCAGCCGAGAGAAAUAAUGACUCCUGAAUCAUUUGACAGUAAAAAAGUUAAAAUGAUGUCUCAAUGGCGCUGCAUCAUGCCAGACGCGCGUGGAUGAUUUGAAGAUAUUAGCCUAACAAGAUGGAAGCAGGUUUAAAAUUUUACAUAAGAAGUUACCUUUUUCAGUUGUGUUGAUGUUCCUUUCAGCUGGUCCUAUAGUACCCCUCCUCAGGAAUGUCUCCCCAGUGCAAGGACAAAGACUGAAGAGACUGCUAUAUUGAUGGACUCUCAAGCCAACUAUGAAGUUGAAACAAAGAAAGUGAUCACCUGAAGACACCUCCUCUGCUAAGAAACACCCCCAAAUUGUGCAGCUUCUGCCACUAGAACUCUCAGAACAAGAGACAAUCUUUUCAAGAAACAGAAAAACUCAAUAAUGACAUCUAGAUUUUCAUGAGCCAAGAACUUUCCCUUCCUCAUGUGUAUUCCUCUGUUUGUACUUAAAUUCAUGUGACAUUCAUUUUUUUCCUAGUAUGGAUAUGCUUAUUAAUGCACUUGUUUCAAAAUCCCAAAUUGCACAAAUGUGUUAAUAUUUUAAGAAACAAAAUGAAUCCUACAAGGAGAAUGAUUUUUAGCCACACAUAGGGUUGGAUCUUGAGAGUGACCUACAGAAUAAAAGUACUUUUAAAAUAAAGUAGUCAGAGGCUAUUCAAAGGGUAAAAUAAUCAUAGUACCACAUUGGUCCACUUGACACUAACCAAUCGAUCAUUUUUUUUUAAUCAAGAAAGCUAGAUUCUAUCAGAUAAAAUCACUGCUUCUAAAGAGUUUAAAUCUAGUUAGAAAAAGUUAUAGAAAUGUUUGCAAAGAUAAGUAACAGAUAGAGUCAGUAGAGGAUAAGAUCAAAAACAAAACCAAGCAAAAGAUGAGUUCAGGGGAGUUUGCCAUCAAGUUGGCAAAACUGACUUACUUAGGGAAGAAAGUUAUAAAACAGGAAAAUAUGAGAUGAACCUUGAGUGAUGUGGAAGAUUUAGAUAAAUGGAAAGGAAGGAGAAAAUGGAGUUCUUUAGGUGGUUGUAAUUGGAGGAGGAAAUGAAUACACACAUCUUGUUGACUUAAACCCAGACAUUCAGCAGCUCUCUAUACAUAUCUGGAAAAGACUGCACAGUCACCUCCUGUCUCUCACCCCAGGUAUUACUUAGAAUUAUUAUCAUAUUUCCCUUCCUUUAAAGUAAGUAAGGGUGAUUGGUGACAAUAUGGAGAACUAUGAUUUUUCCAUUAACCUAAUAAUAAUUGGUAUUUAUUGAGUUCUGUUAAGCAUUUUACAUAUUAACUCACUUAAGCCUUUCAACAGCCUUGCAAAAUAGGUAUUAUUAUCCCCAUUUUACAGGCAAGAAAACUGAGGUUUAAGUAACUUGCCGAAGUGCCAUAUACAGGGCUCACAUUCAGUAUUGCAGUUGCAAAGCUCAUGAUCUAUAGUGCCAAGUUGCAAUAUUGUAGUCAAUGUCACAAUUAUUACCCCUUUUUAUAUUCCUUGAUAUUUUUCCAUGGCAAACAAUUAGCUAUUUCAUUUAAUAAUCACCUAAAACUUUUCAGUCUUCUGAUUAAAAUUACGCUGGAGUGAUAGAAUGUAUUUUCAUGAUAGAAAUUGGGAAAAAAAAUGGGGAAUGAAGUUUAUCAGCAUUUCAGACUUGUUUUUUUUUUUUUUUUUUGCAAGACUUUGAUGAGAUUGUUCACUUUUGUCUAUGUAAAAUCCCAAAUCCUUGAGAAUAAAAAAGGGGGAGGUUUAAGUCACUUGUUGCAAUGCCCUUUUUAAUAGAGGCAAUAAAUCUAAAGGCCAUAAAUUUAGAGUGACUUACAGAAGAUCGAACUUUGGAGUGUGGCAGAGUAAGGGAUGGAAACCGGGCCCUCCAGUUCACUAUCAGUAGCUUUUGCACUGGUCUGCCCUUCCUAAAUUAAGUAUGCACUUCAAUUUGAUGAGUGGAAACAGUCUAUCUGGGCAGUAACCAGGGAGCUUUGUGCCUAGUAGAUUGCUUCUGUUCUGCACUUCUUUGGUUUCCCACCUCAAUGUAAAAAAUAGCUAGCAAUGAAGUCCAGAAGUUGUCAAUGGUUCAUCCCCAGAAGAAUGCAUAAUGUCCAAAGUUGUAUGUGUAUGAUGUCUUCAAUGGUAUUAAGUUAUUUCAAAUUCUUAGUUCACCUACAUAAAUCAUUUCUAACAAGCAUCUUCUUAACCAACUUUAUGCACAGUGUAUGUUUGUAAGUGCUUCUGCACGAAUGUUUAUACAUGACUGUUUCCAUAGUACUUAUGUUUUUAAAAAUAUUCAGUCAUUUCCUACUAUAAUCCUCAUGUAUCCAUGUAACUGACUCAAAAAUACUUCAGCCACAGAAAGCUAAAACUGAGCAAAUCUCAUUCUUCUUUUCCAUCCCCUUUGCAUGUGGCUGGCAUUUAGUAAUGAUUAAUAAUAUGGCCAGCUGAAUAACAGAGGUUUGAGACACAAUUCUUUCUCAAAGGAGUCAGCUAAGCUGGGUCUACUUAUGGACAAACAUCUAAAUGUGUGGAAGUAUCUGAUAUUUGACAAUGGUAAAUUUCCACUUAGCUAGCUAGCAUUGUCAGACUUCAAUCUCCUCAUGGCUCUGGCCGUCCUGUUUUAAGCAUGAUAAUUGUUGGCCACAUCUCACAUAGUUCUCAUUGAGUGAGUUCAUAAAUAAACAGGGUUUUUUUUUUUUUUUAAAGAGCAGCCAAGCACAAAGUGUGACUUUGUUGACAUUUUAUGUGACUUUGUCAUAUGUUCCUAACCCCCAAUAAAAGCAAUGUUGCAUCAACUGUGAA
rnacentral:lncRNA from 1 species